GACGAACGCUGGCGGCGUGCCUAAUACAUGCAAGUUGAGCGCUGAAGGUUGGUACUUGUACCAACUGGAUGAGCAGCGAACGGGUGAGUAACGCGUGGGGAAUCUGCCUUUGAGCGGGGGACAACAUUUGGAAACGAAUGCUAAUACCGCAUAAAAACUUUAAACACAAGUUUUAAGUUUGAAAGAUGCAAUUGCAUCACUCAAAGAUGAUCCCGCGUUGUAUUAGCUAGUUGGUGAGGUAAAGGCUCACCAAGGCGAUGAUACAUAGCCGACCUGAGAGGGUGAUCGGCCACAUUGGGACUGAGACACGGCCCAAACUCCUACGGGAGGCAGCAGUAGGGGAUCUUCGGCAAUGGAUGAAAGUCUGACCGAGCAACGCCGCGUGAGUGAAGAAGGUUUUCGGAUCGUAAAACUCUGUUGGUAGAGAAGAACGUUGGUGAGAGUGGAAAGCUCAUCAAGUGACGGUAACUACCCAGAAAGGGACGGCUAACUACGUG
rnacentral:rRNA from 1 species